UGAGGAAGUUCUGAAAGGAAAUUUAUAGUGUUUUUCUUUUGUUUUUUUUUUUCCCUUCAGGCUGUAAAAACUGUGGAGGAUACUUUCAUAUUGAUCCAACUUCCAAUAGCAGAUAAAGGAAAUAUGUUUUGAUGUUUUUCCCAGCAGUGGAUUGAAAUUAGAAGGAGAAAUAAGGAGGACAGAUUCCAUGUCCUGUUGCUUUUAAUAAGAACGGCUUUGGCAGUUACCUCUGAAGGAUGACGCUCUACAAUAAGCUGACCUAAUUUCCAGUUUCGGGAAGCAUAGGAGGAAGAAUCAAGGAUCUAUGGAGAAUACACAAAUGUUAAUGCUAUGGUGUGAGAUGGAGAUAAAUAAAGAAUACUUCAAGUCAUCAGUGCUAUGGUUGGAUAACUAGAAAGCAGACUAGCUGUGAACUCAUUCUUGGAGGCCUUUUCCCAAGAACUUCCAAAUGUUUGAAGAGGCUUUGGGGAAAAAAAAAAAAUAUAUAUAUAUAUAUAUAUAGUUUAUAGAAAUAUUAAAAUAAGGGAGCUAAGCUAACUUUAUGUCUCAGAUAAAAUUUUGUUAGUUUAUUUUAGUACUCAUUAAUUUAAUUGAUUAAUUGAUAU
rnacentral:lncRNA from 1 species